AGAGUUUGAUCAUGGCUCAGAAUGAACGCUGGCGGCGUGCCUAACACAUGCAAGUCGAACGAGAAACUCUGGCUUCGGCUGGGGGAGUAAAGUGGCGCACGGGUGAGUAACGCGUGAGUAACCUGCCCCUGAAUCUGGGAUAACUUCGCGAAAGUGUUGCUAAUACCGGAUGACAUUCUCAGGACUGUGGUUUUGGGGAUGAAAGGUGACCUCUCCAUGGAAGUUGCCGUUGAGGGAUGGGCUCGCGUACCAUUAGCUGGUUGGUGGGGUAACGGCCUACCAAGGCGACGAUGGUUAGCUGGUCUGAGAGGAUGAUCAGCCACACUGGAACUGGAACACGGUCCAGACUCCUACGGGAGGCAGCAGUGAGGAAUUUUGCGCAAUGGGGGGAACCCUGACGCAGCAACGCCGCGUGAGUGAAGAAGGCCUUCGGGUCGUAAAGCUCUGUCAAGUGGGAAAAAGGUUUUCCGGUGAAAAGCCGGGGAGUUUGAUGGUACCACUAGAGGAAGCACCGGCUAACUCCGUGCCAGCAGCCGCGGUAAUACGGAGGGUGCGAGCGUUGUUCGGAAUUAUUGGGCGUAAAGCGCGUGCAGGCGGUUAGGUAAGUCAGAUGUGAAAGCCCUGAGCUCAACUCAGGAAGUGCAUUUGAAACUACCUUUCUUGAGUAUGGGAGAGGAGAGUGGAAUUCCCAGUGUAGAGGUGAAAUUCGUAGAUAUUGGGAGGAACACCCGUGGCGAAGGCGACUCUCUGGACCAAUACUGACGCUGAGACGCGAAAGCGUGGGGAGCAAACAGGAUUAGAUACCCUAGUAGUCC
rnacentral:rRNA from 1 species